UACGGAAGGCAGCAGUGGGGAAUAUUGCACAAUGGGCGCAAGCCUGAUGCAGCCAUGCCGCGUGUAUGAAAAAGGCCUUCGGGUUGUAAAGUACUUUCAGUCGUGAGGAAGGUGUUAAGGUUAAUAACUUUAGCAAUUGACGUUAGCGACAGAAGAAGCACCGGCUAACUCCGUGCCAGCAGCCGCGGUAAUACGGAGGGUGCGAGCGUUAAUCGGAAUUACUGGGCGUAAAGGGCACGCAGGCGGUUAAUUAAGUUGGAUGUGAAAUCCCCGGGCUUAACCUGGGAAUGGCAUUCAAGACUGGUUAGCUAGAGUCUUGUAGAGGGGGUAGAAUUCCAUGUGUAGCGGUGAAAUGCGUAGAGAUGUGGAGGAAUACCGGUGGCGAAGGCGGCCCCUGGACAAAGACUGGACGCUCAUGUGCGAAAGCGUGGGGAGCAAACGAGGGAUUAGAUA
rnacentral:rRNA from 1 species